AAAUUUCAUAAAAACUCUUUUUUUUCUUUUCCCUAUUUUCCUCCCCCGGUUUCUCUCUUCUCUCUCCUCGCCCCCGAUACUUCCUCUCUUUCUGGGCUUCCUUCCUCCGCCUGCAGCGCCGCCGUCCGUAGACGCCAAGCCGCCCCUGAGCCACCACAGCUUCGCCUUGACCUCUCCUAGCUGCUGGACGUGAUCUUUUCCACCGGGACGGCCUCAAAUCCGGCAGAUCGGAGCUGCAAGCUUUGAACCACAAAAGGGUCAACGCCGGUUUUCUCCUAGUUCCGGCAACCAAAACUUCCGAUCCUUGGCUUCCUGAACUCGCCUCAACCUCCUUAGCAAGCACCAAGAAGGACUGGACCUGGUUUGAAGGUUUUCACGUUCGUCGUCGGAGCCGACCGGUUUUCGAUCGAAAACCAACCUUUCGAUCGAGAUAUCUCGAGUUACAGACCACCUAUUCCUGUAAUUCUUGAGCUAGUGAACUCCGAUUGAAGUUCUGAACAACUUCCAUGAAGGGAUCAAAGCGAGUUGUUGAAUUUUUACGUCGGAAUUCAAGCUCGCCGGAUUCUGGAAUUUUUCCGGCCACCGAAGCUUUCGAUCAAGAUAUCUCGAGUUGUAGAGCUUCGUUUUGAGUGAUUCUUGAACCAGUGAGUUCACCUUGAUGUUAUUAACAACUCUCCAGAAGGAAUAGAGGCCUGAAAGUGAAGGUUUUACGUCGAAAUCAAGCUCGCCAGUUCUGCAAAUUAUCGCCGGAUUCUGGAAAUUUUCCGGCCAACCCGACUGUUCGAGGGGGAUAAUUCAUAUUUUGAAGAGCUGUAUCAUGGAAGAGGGAGGAAUCAGGCAUUGCAGAAGAAGUCGCACAAGCAGGAGGUAUUUUGACUGAUCCAAUUGAAAGCAACAGCUCAUCACCACCUCCAGAAGCAGAAGCUCCUACCAUCACUUCUACCCCUGACCCACAACUCCCUGGUACUGAAGAUCACCCAUUUGAGCAUCAACAUCUUUAAUUUGUUCCUUCAACUUCUCAUGUACGGCUUCACACAGACAGACACAUGCAACAGUAUCUUUGUCAGAAAAUAUGAAAGAUUAAACAUGGAAACAACUAUAUGGAAGCCUUACAAUUCAAAGAAAUUUCAUGCAAGUUACAAUGAAAACAACUGCAAAGACGACUCAUCCAAUCAGCCGUCUACAUGCGACUGAAGGAAUAACCCAUACACUUUAAGGGACAUCAGAAGUGCCGCUUUAAAAAGGAAUACUAUUCUCUUUUUGAGUCAAAACCGAGAAAAUUUAUGUUGUAGAUGGCUAGCUUUACACUUUAUAUUGUCUAUAUACUUUUUCCUUUUACAUUUUUAUCUUUGUCUGUAAGGCAACCCAUCCAAAGACGCUUUUUCAUAAAAUAUUCUUAACUUAUGAACCUAA